UAGUUUGAAGAAACCGCAUAGACUCCAGUCUACGAUAGUAGUUCUGCAUAUUUGCCUGAUUUACACAGUUCAUAGCUAGAAGAAUUGAAGCCUAAGGUUAGAAUUUUCUCAGCUACCCAAGAAAGGAGACUUAUUGUUCUGGGGUUUGAUCUUCGGUGGUUGAGAUCAGCUGGCAGAUGCAAGUGGGCACUCACGAUAUGUGAAGUUGACGAAGGAGCAAACGGCUGUAGAGGACAUUAAGCCUGGUAAACUCAAUCAGCCCAUCGAAGUUCCCCAGUUAGCAGUUCGCAAGUCCAAUGCAUGUGGGCAGCCCUUGCCCGAAGACUUUGAGCCACCUGCAGAUGAACCUUCGACGACUGGCAUUUUUGCCUGUGCUGAAGAUAAUGAAAGUUGUCAACUACCUAUCAUAUAUGAUGCUGGACUGGACUAUUUUGUCCUUGUGUUCUAUUGGGGCAAAAUGUUGAAAGCCAUUUGUGUCGAAGGUGGAAUGGCACUGGCAGCAGCAACAGCAAUCUUCCAUGGGGUUGACCCAAGGACAUCAUUUCUAAUUUGUGAGGGUUUACUUUUUGCUUGGUGGAUGUGUGGCAUAUACACUGGUCUUGUUCGGCAAUCAUUACAGAGGAAAUAUCAACUCAAGGGUGCACUGCUGCAUGCAUUGGCGUGCUUUGUGCCAGGAGCAUAGGGAGAUGAGGGAGCGCCUAUCAGAUACCUUUGUCAUGCCGAUGGCCAUUGUCAAUCCUCCCCCUGCUCAAGACAUUAGCUCCGUCAGUGAGCACCGGGAUUCUGAACCAUCCUCUGAAAAGGGCAUCAGCUUAGAGAUUCAGGCUUUGUAAAUUGGCAGUUACAUAUACACAAAAGUCGACUA